rnacentral:rRNA from 1 species
CUUGAACGCUGGCGGCAGGCCUAACACAUGCAAGUCGAGCGGAGCGGCGGACGGGUGAGUAAUGCCUAUGAAUCUGCCUGGUAGUGGGGGAUAACGUCAGGAAACGGGAGCUAAUACCGCAUACUAUCAGAUGAGCCUAGGCCGGAUGAGCUAGUUGGUGGGGUAAAGGCCUACCAAGGCGACGAUCCGUAACUGGUCUGAGAGGAAGAUCAGUCACACUGGAACUGAGACACUGUCCAGACUCCGACGGUAGGCAGCAGUGGGGAAUAUUGGACAAUGGGAGAAAGCCUGAUACAGCCAUGCCGCGUGUGUGAAGAAGGUCUUCGGAUUGUAAAGCACUUUAAGUUGGGAGGCGUUACCAGCAGAAUAAGCACCGGCUAACUUCGUGCCAGCAGCCGCGGUAAUUC